ensembl:lncRNA ULK4P3 ULK4 pseudogene 3
UAGCUCCCGCCAAGUCCUCGGUGCCCCUUGCCAUUUUCCAGCCGCGCUCCCACGAGGGUCACGGCGGCGGGGAGAGGUGGAGCCGCGAGAGCUCGGCCGGGGGCCCCGCCUGGUGGUCGCGGCCAUGACAGCGGCUCGGGACUGGCUCCUUUUCCGCGCCCCUCCCGCCGGAGGUGAGGGGAAGAUGUCCAUGUCCGGGUUCAAGGGCAAACCGAAGUUACUGGCCUCUAUCUUCCAGGAGAACCAGGAGCCACAGCCGCGGCUCACGCCCCACCGCAACAUUAAGAUUACAAGUGGACACCUGAGUCAGCAGGACCUGGAAUCCCAGAUGAGAGAGCUUAUCUACACGACUCAGAUCUUGUUGUCACCCCCAUUAUUGACAAUCCAAAGGUGCAGAAAGCACUCUGACAAAUGGGCCAAGGUUGCUCGGGUGAUUGGUUUACUGGCUUCGCACAAAACUGAUCUCCAGGAAAAUACACCUGUUGUUGAGUCCCAGAACUCCUACAUUGCCUGGUGUGCUGACCUAAAGCCCUCAUUAAGACCAGUAACAAAUCAAGCC